rnacentral:rRNA from 1 species
UACGUAGGGGGCAAGCGUUGUCCGGAAUCAUUGGGCGUAAAGAGCGUGUAGGCGGCUCGAUAAGUCCGUUCUGAAAGUCCAGGGCUCAACCCUGGGAUGCGGAUGGAUACUGUCGGGCUCGAGUCCGGAAGAGGCGAGUGGAAUUCCCGGGUGUAGCGGUGAAAUGCGCAGAUAUCGGGAGGAACACCAAUGGCGAAGGCAGCUCGCUGGGACGUGACUGACGCUGAGGAGCGAAAGCGUGGGGAGCGAACGAGG